rnacentral:rRNA from 1 species
GACGAACGCUGGCGGCGUGCCUAAUACAUGCAAGUCGAACGCUUCUUUUUCCACCGGAGCUUGCUCCACCGGAAAAAGAGGAGUGGCGAACGGGUGAGUAACACGUGGGUAACCUGCCCAUCAGAAGGGGAUAACACUUGGAAACAGGUGCUAAUACCGUAUAACAAUCAAAACCGCAUGGUUUUGAUUUGAAAGGCGCUUUCGGGUGUCGCUGAUGGAUGGACCCGCGGUGCAUUAGCUAGUUGGUGAGGUAACGGCUCACCAAGGCCACGAUGCAUAGCCGACCUGAGAGGGUGAUCGGCCACAUUGGGACUGAGACACGGCCCAAACUCCUACGGGAGGCAGCAGUAGGGAAUCUUCGGCAAUGGGCGAAAGCCUGACCGAGCAACGCCGCGUGAAUGAUGAAGGCCUUCGGGUUGUAAAAUUCUGUUAUAAGGGAAGAACGACUUUAGUAGGAAAUGGCUGGAGUGUGACGGUACCUUAUGAGAAAGCCACGGCUAACUACGUGCCAGCAGCCGCCGUAA